UAUAUGUGUAUAUUUAGAUAGGUAUAUAUGUAGAUAGAUAUAGUAUAAUAGUGUAUACUCUAUAUGCACCAGUCAAGCAUAUCAUUAAAAUCAUCUGCCCAAUAUUGUGUAGGUCCCCCCUUGUGCUACCCAAACAGCUCUGACCCAUCCAUGGACUCAGGGGAGGAUCUACUAUAAAACUAAUGAAGCCUGAGCUUCAAGGCUCCUAAUUUCACAGGGGCCCCAGAAGUAACUUUACUUCACAUUGCUUAAAAAAUUUGGAUGUCUACAAGAAGGCUUUUUUUUUAAUAAUAAUAUUACUAAUAUUGUGUCAUUCAGUGUAGAAAUUUUAAUCAAAAUCUAAAAUUUAGUGGUGAAAUUUUAAAAAAACAAACAUUUUUUUGGUGAUCAGUCGUGGAACAACCACAUUGAAGAAGUUGACAUUGGUUACUCAGGCUGCGUUGCUGGUCAUGAAGAGCCCAAUUAACACUUCAAGCUUCAAGCCAUUGCAUGGGUGUCCACCAGACCUCUGAAGGUGUCCCGUGGUAUCUGGCACUAAGACGUUAGCAUAUCCUCAUUAGGACCAAGGUGGAGGGCAUCAUACUUAUUGCUGCAAAUCACCCCACAGAUGAUCAGUUGGAUUGGGAAAUUUAUAGUCCAGGGAAAGAAAAAUGAACUCUUCAUCAUGUUCCUCAAACCACUCCUGGACAAUCUGUACAGUAUGACACGGUGUACCAACAACCUGAAAGAUUCCACUCCCAUUGGGGAAUACUGCUGCUGUGAAGGAAGUGUAUCUGGCCUGCAACCUUUAGGUAUUCCACAGAUAUACAUGUGGAAGUUUCAAAAACCUGUUUGACAAAGCAGCAAGAGAAGGAGAAGAGGAACGUCUUCAGGAGUAACCCAGGGCUGCACAGAGUAUAAGAGGGAACAAACUAUCGUGGUGGAAAAUAUAAGUAACAGUCAGGACAAUGCCCAGGACCACUUCCGGAGUCAGUUUCACUACACACGAAUCUGUGUUCUGGUGGCCAAAGCUCCUUCUGCACUCCUGAGCCUCAUCUAUUAAAGAGACAGGUCAAUACUUCUACUGAACUCUCUGCUGUCAUGUCUUAGCUGAGGUUCCUCCCCUAGCUGGGGUUCAAAUUCUUGUUUUGUCUCAUUUGCUCAUUUCUGAUUCUUUGAUUUAUGUUGUUUAUGUGAGU